UGAAGUUUAAGUCCUCUUCUAUUCUUCUCCUAUUCUUUUGAUAAUAAUUAGUUGGUGUGGUCGUUAGACGCAAAAAUGAGAAUUUACUCCACACUGAUGGAUACCAUCGAGACGUACGCGGGGCUGUCACCGGCGGCGUUCUUUACAAUAGCCGCUCUCAUGGUGGUGGUUUACAAGAUCGUAUGCAGCAUGUUCGUGGACCCAGAAGAGUUCAAUAAGCCCACCAACAAUUCCUCCAUCAAUCUUCAUCAUUCAACGCCAAAAAUCUCAGAACCUUUUCAAUUAGGAGAUGUUACAGAGCAAGAAUUGAGAGCUUAUGAUGGCUCUGAUCCUAAUAAGCCACUGUUGAUGGCCAUCAAAGGUCAGAUCUAUGACGUCUCUUCCUCUAGGAUGUUUUAUGGUCCUGGUGGUCCAUAUUCUAAGUUUGCUGGAAGGGAUGCCAGCAGAGCCUUAGCUCUCCUCUCAUUUGAUCCUAAAGACCUUACAGGGAAUCUUGAGGGUCUUAGUGAUUCUGAGCUUGAAGUUUUACAGGACUGGGCGUAUAAAUUCAUGGAAAAAUAUGUGAAAGUUGGGCAGCUUGUUGCAGAGCAAACUAGGACUGAGCAAACGGAUGGAGAAGAAGUUGAAGAAAGCCACAAACAUGAAACAAAUGGAGAUAGGCAGACAUUUUAAGCAUGGCCAAGGCAGAACGGAGGUAGUAUGUAUAUGAUCAUAUUUAGUAGGUUUUUUUUCAACACGUUCUUGCAGAGAUGAUUCUUAGCUUGAGAAAAAUCUGCUAAUAACAAUCUUUGGUAUGAGACUGUGAAGUAAGUCUUCUUCAUUAGCUGAGGGAUGGUUCUUGGCAUGCCUAUGUGAAUGUAUUUUUGCUCUUCUCCAUUGCCAAAUGGAGCAAAGCAAAAUCCUAGUGCUAUAUAUAUAUAUAUAUACUUUGACAUAAAGCAAUAAUGGGUUUGUCUAUUCUGGUGACUGCCAACUCAACGGAUAAUAAAAAGACAUGGGGGGAU
rnacentral:misc_RNA from 1 species